rnacentral:lncRNA from 1 species
GCAGCAAGUUCCCUUUUCCUCCUGUUGUUCCAAUGGUGUCCUGCUGUCCUGGCUGUGUGAGGUUCCCAGAGUUAUUCUGGACCCUGAUAAAUCAGACCUUCAAUAUGGAGAAAUGACCUGCACCUGGAUCCACGCAGGAUGUUCUUGUGGCUUAAAGGAGAACCUCUGAGGAGGCAGAAAGCUGGUUCUUUCUGGAGGGAGAAGGCAUGAGAGACAGACUGGAUUGAAAAGAGAAAGAGGACCCUCAACUCUCCCUAAUUUUCAAGAAUGUUGCCAGUCAAAGAGAGUUCCCCUGGUGGAAUCAAUCUCUUGCUGCCCUGGUGGGUAGGAGCUGCUUUGAGUAGCUUUGGCUUUGUGGUGCUUUCUUGGAGUUUUGGCAAUGAGGGCAACAUCCAGACCCAUGAGAUGUCCCUGCAGCAUGGAGACACCCUCCCUCACUGCAGCUGCUGCCAGCCAGGUAGAGUCAGUCCCCUGCAGUAUUUCACAGCUCCCCUCUUACAUUUUUUUAUCCCUUCUUUUCACUUAGAGAUGAGCCUGGAUUUACCCCUUCCUGACCCUUGAUAAAGUUGAUCAAUGGACCAUCUCAGCCAUGUGUAGUGGGCAGAACAAAAGCUCCUGAGCAUUCAGAUCCACCUCCAAACUGCACAGCUUGAGCCCAUCUCCACAUUUAAUUACUCCAGACCAUUCCCAUGUGUCUCUGGGAAAGAUGUGUCCCCUCAUCUCUGUAUCUGCUUAAAAAUUCUAUCAAUUGCCAUUUUUCUAAAUCCUUCUAUCAAAGAAAUCCUCUCCCCUCCCUCCUAAAUCUCUUGCACUUGGAACUUCAGGGAACAGAGCAGAUGCAGUUUGAUGCCCUCAUCCAAACUAAUGAUUUGUUUCUGGCCGAGAACACAUUACCAUCAAGGGGUUUUUAAUAUUCUGCAGAAUUUAGUGGAGGCCAAUAGAGUAGGAGGGGGGUUAGAUGCUCUGCCUUUGCCAAGAUGUUUAUGCAGCAGGAAUGUUAUUUAUGUAAAUCUGGAAGCACUCUUGAAGCGAUAGCCUCACUCUUGCAUCUCAGACUUUUUUCAUUAAGUCAUUGAUCUUCCUUCAAAAAAACCCAAUUUUUUAAAAUAAAAAAAUCCCUCUGAAAACCUAAAACUCGAGCAUGAAAAGUACUUGGGGAAAAAUAUUUACUGCAUAACUGCUCUAAGCUACCCACAUUAUACAGACCACUGCAAUUCCUGAAGAAUGCUGGGGUAACAACUGCUGGAUUUGGGAUUUCACACAUCCGC